rnacentral:rRNA from 1 species
UACGUAGGUGGCAAGCGUUGUCCGGAUUUACUGGGCGUAAAGAGCGCGCAGGCGGUCGUGCAAGUCGCGUGUGAAAGCCCCCCGGCUCAACUGGGGAGGGUCACGCGAUACUGCUCGACUCGAAGGCAGGAGAGGGAAGUGGAAUUCCCGGUGUAGUGGUGAAAUGCGUAGAUAUCGGGAGGAACACCGGUGGCGAAGGCGGCAUCCUGGACCAAUACUGACGCUGAGGAGCGAAAGCCAGGGGAGCAAACGGG